rnacentral:tRNA from 1 species
CAAUCUAGAGCUUGAAUAUAAAGCAUCUUAUUUACAUUGAGGAGUAUACUGUGAAAUUCAGUUUAGUUUGA